CCUCCUUAUUUGGAAUCUCUUUUUGUCUCCAGAACCUGGCAUAUGUUAUUCUCGCGGCAGUGACCAAGUAGUUGAACAGGAUCUCUUUAUUUUUGUCAUGGUCAAUGUCUAACAUUCCAAAUCAUGAACAGUGGCAAGUAGUCAUGAGCUGCACCACCGUGGAUAAUCCAAAAUGUGAAGACUGGUACCUGGAUUUGUUUACCGGGAGAAUGUAUAUAUACAGCUGCUGUUCUAAUAAAAAUUUCUGCAAUGAUGACACCUACAAUGGUACUACCCAACUCAUUGGGGGGCUGAAUAAAAGGUCCUCUGAGUGACUGUCGCCAGUCGGGUUCGGGCUGGUUGGAGUAGCCAUCCCCCAGAAGACCUGUGUGUCCUAAAGAGCAGGAGAAGGCGAUCCUGUACGGAACCUGGACCUAAACUAUGGACUUCAUCAGAUUACACUGCGAAGUGUUCAGAAGAGUUCAGAAGAAGAGAGUUCAGUCUAACUCCAUUCCGUAAUAAAAAGUUUUCUCCUACCUUACAAUCACACUGUUUAGUGCACUCAGUUGUCUUGCGUAUUUUUCAAUGAAGAGGUUUCCACACUGCAGACAUUUGGC
rnacentral:lncRNA from 11 species